AGAGUUUGAUCCUGGCUCAGAACGAACGCUGGCGGCAGGCUUAACACAUGCAAGUCGAACGCACCGCAAGGUGAGUGGCAGACGGGUGAGUAACGCGUGGGAAUCUACCCAAUACUACGGAAUAGCUCCGGGAAACUGGAAUUAAUACCGUAUGUGCCCUACGGGGGAAAGAUUUAUCGGUAUUGGAUGAGCCCGCGUUGGAUUAGCUAGUUGGUGGGGUAAUGGCCUACCAAGGCGACGAUCCAUAGCUGGUCUGAGAGGAUGAUCAGCCACACUGGGACUGAGACACGGCCCAGACUCCUACGGGAGGCAGCAGUGGGGAAUUUUCCGCAAUGGGCGAAAGCCUGACGGAGCAAGACCGCGUGAGGGAGGAAGGCUCUUGGGUUGUAAACCUCUUUUGUCAGGGAAGAACACAAUGACGGUACCUGACGAAUCAGCAUCGGCUAACUCCGUGCCAGCAGCCGCGGUAAUACGGAGGAUGCAAGCGUUAUCCGGAAUUAUUGGGCGUAAAGCGUCCGCAGGUGGCUAAUCAAGUCUGCGGUCAAAGACCGGGGCUUAACCCUGGAAAGGCCGUGGAAACUGAUAAAGCUAGAGUACCGUAGGGGUAGAGGGAAUUCCCGGUGUAGCGGUGAAAUGCGUAGAGAUCGGGAAGAACAUCGGUGGCGAAAGCGCUCUACUGGACGGUGACUGACACUCAGGGACGAAAGCUAGGGGAGCGAAUGGGAUUAGAUACCCCCGUAGUCC
rnacentral:rRNA from 1 species